UAUUCUAAUGUAUGCUGGAAUUUCCAUGGUAUUCUCUGUGAUGUCACUAAUGUUAUGGAAACAGAAACUGCCCUUGUGGCAUUUAGUUAGUGCUUAGGUUUAACAACAGACAUUGUUUCAGAGUGAUCAAGCUAUUAACCUAGAAAACAGAGAGCAUGGAGAGAACAGAGAGAGGAAGAAGAAAUUGGAAUUUCUUUCUUGUUAUAAAAGUGCAAAAAAUGAUCUGGUGGAAAGCAGAGAGAAGGAUCUGCUGGGAAGGCACCAUCCCAACCUUCGACCAUCAGUGAGCAAGUUCAACAGAUUAAGAAGAUGGAGAAACUGAUUAUUGAGCUCCAGAAGAUGACCUGUUAGUUCGGUAAACUCUCAGGUAUACUGAGCCAUUGUACCAACAGGAUUUGAACAAAAGAUAGCCAUUAUGCCCAGUUUUUUGUUGACUGUCUUGACCUCCCUUUGUUAACCCUAGUUUUCUCACAUCACAAGAAACAGCAUCUCCAAUGUCCCCAUGCAUAAUUUAAUUUUAUCAUGUGCCUCUCAGUGGUAGAAUAUGAAGACAGGAUAGGAGUGUGGUGGGAAGCUUUUUCAUUACUCAGAAUAGCAGAAGCUGUGGUUUGAAUAGCAGUCUUGAGAUAUGGCAAGUAGUUUGUGAGCUCUUGUCAUGGAUUUAAAUAGACAUGGAAUGCAUUUCCUGUCCUAAGAGGAACAAAGAAAGCUGGUCAGCAACAGUAGCACAGUAACUUAGACUUAGGUAGGUAAAGUUUUAUUUAUUAAUUUUUAUUUAUUUAUUUAUUUAUUUUAAAGAUUUAUUUUAUUUGCUUAAUAUGAGAAUAUUAUAGUUGUCAAACACACCAAAAGAGGACAUCAGAUUCCAUUAUAGAUGGUUGUAUGCCACAAUGUGUUUACUGAGAACUGCACUCAGGACCUCUGGAAAAACAGUCAGUGCUCUUAAAUGCUGAAUCAGCUUAGCAGCCUAAAGUACUUUUGAUAAUAAUAAUAAAAAUAAAAAUAAAAAUAAAAAUAAUAAUAAUAAUAAUAAUAAUAGUAAUAAUAAUAAUGCUCUUCCCCCUCCUCUGUCUCAAGAAGUACUAACAAUAAAGAAGACAACAUCAUAGCUGCCCUUCCCUCAGCACUAAAAGAGAGAAAAGUUUUACUUUGUCUUGGUUAUGAAGAUUUUUCUUGUUGACUGGGCUCAUAGCUCAGUCCUGAAGCCAGGUGCCAUUUCCCUGAAAAUGGGAACCCCUUUUGGAGGAAUCUGCUUACCUUGGAGGAAAUGGAAAACAGUGAGCAAGGUUUCUUCACUGAUAUGAACCUUGAGAGAAUGGAGGGAGCCAAGGAAAGCCACAGACAACAUCAUUCUACAUUCUAGAAGAUCAAGGCCUUCUCAUAAAAAAAAAAAAUCCUUGUAGAUGUGAAUUCAGCAGUGAGAUAGGACCAUGUUGUACUGAGAGACCCCACCCAACAGCUGAGUCAGGCUGAUAGAGACACCUACAGCCAAGCAGUGAAUGGAGCUUGAGGAAAGUUUUUUGGCACAAAAGGCAAUAGGAACUGCACAGGAAGGCCAACAGUGUCAACUAACCUAAACCACGGGGAACUCUUAGAGCCUGAGGCCCCAACCGAAGAUCAUGCACAGGGUGGUCCUAGAUCCCUAGUGGAUAUGGGGCAGACAUGGUUACGUUGUCUGGCUGCAAUUCGAGAGGGUGGGCCUAAUUCCGAAGAGACUCGAUGUUUCAGAGUUGGGGCCAUAACUAGGCAUGUCAUCAUCUUAGGAGAGAAGAGGAUUGGGACAGAGACUCUGUGAGGAAGUGACAAGCGAGGGGCAGCGUUUGAGUCCCUUACCCCAAACUCCAUACCUUUCUGAUUUCUUCUUUCAAAAAGUCAAAAUAACAGUAGUUAAAAGGCAUGUAUAGUCCCUGAAUAGCUGUUCAUUUGGCCACGCAUUUCAAAAACCUACAACAUUGAGAGUGCAGACAUCGGGAAAUAGCUUCAAAAAUGAUCUUCAAAAAUUAAAUAUUCUCCAGCUAUCAGCUACCAGCUUGACAAAACUGGAAGACACAGAGCCAGAACAAGAAUAUACUUGUUCAUAUAUACAUAGAGAAAAAUGAUCAGACAAGAUAGAAAACAGAUCACAACUUACCUGGAUUCAAAAGAAGAGAUCCUCAGUUCCUGUAAUGUAUUCUGCAUGAGUUUACAGAGUUUAUGGGUUAAUGACUGAAAAUAAACACCUACAAAAUCCAACAAUAAACUAUCCACUAACUGCAAUAUUUAUAAGAGCUAAACAAAUAUGUCGAAAGUAUAUUUUUUCAGCUAUAUAUGAGUAUACUAAUGUUUAUUAAUUUGGAUAUUAAUAAAAUUUAAA